UUCCUAACGAGUUACUGAAACCUCUGGAGGAGCAGUACCUCAGCAAACAACAGAGCGACCUGAUGAUUUAUAUUGGCCGAGUAUUGGAUGAAGCGAAGAAAGAGUGGGAUCAAGGAAAGGAGCCGACAAGAGAUGAUGGUUGCUACAUCAGUCCUGUGGCCUAUGAUGUCAUCCAGUUGAUCAACGGCAUCGUGACAUCAUCACAUAUAACUGUAAGAGACCCGCACAAGGCCCAGAAAAUAACAUCCAACCUGACAGACUUCAUGCAGAGGUAACAAGGCUUCACCAGGCUGUCUUUUAAAUAUUGUCAUUUAAAAAAUACCUGUAGGUUUUAUGUUUC
rnacentral:lncRNA from 1 species